AGUGCGAAAAGGAUGAGUAGGUUCUUCUACAAUCACAACCGGCUGCAUGCUGAGAUGAGGGACAAGAUUGGUGGAGAGUUGAUCCGUCCUAAUGCCACCCGCUUUGGAACUGUUUUUAUUUUCCUGCAAAGUAUUCAUGAUAAGAAGGACAAGUUUCGGCAAUGGAUGGUGUCAGAUGAGUGGAAAAAUAGUGAUUGGAAAACUGAGGAAGAAUUUGACUAUAUAGAAGCAUGUUUGACAAGUAGUGAAUGGUGGAAUGACCUCAAGAGGGUUCUAGAUAGAGUGCAGCCACUAUACUUCGUACUACGAUAUGCUGAUCAGCAGAAGGAUGGGACCGUUUCUGGUUUUAAAUUAAGGAUGAUGACCGUUGUUCAGGAAUUGACAACUCAACUCGGCGAGGAUACAUAUGAAUUUGAAAAAUACAUGAGGAAGGUGGGCCCGAGGAUUCAGUAAUUGUACGACAACACGUUGAUGCUUGCAGCUGCUGCCCUUGAUCCCGAAUCACACUAUUCAUUUGCAUUUGACAAAGAUCCAGCCUAUAUUAAUAAAGUGUUAGAUGUAAUAUCAAAUAUGGCGGAUACACCACAGUCUGGAGCAAAGGCUAUGGAUGAACUUUCACUUUAUAGUAGAAACAAAGGAAAGCUUGGGGAGUGAUGGCACGGCUCGCAGCACGCACAUCUAGCCCAGCCACUUGGUGGUCUCAAUAUGGUGGAGAUGUGCCCAUGUUGCAGAAGUAUGCGAUGCGCAUUGUGUCUCAUUGUGUGUCAUCAAGUGGCUGUGAGCGCAAUUGGAGUACUUUCACGUUGAUCCAUACCAAAGUGAGAAAUAUUCUAUGUUACAUUAAGCUGACAAAGUUGGUGUACACAUGUUACAACUUGCAGCUCCUCCUUCAGCAAAAUGAGACUUAUCGAGAAGAUAAGGAGGUGAGCUCGAUCUUCCACUAUCAACAAUGCCGGUGUUCAGCGGUGCUCCUUACCAGGUGAUGAAUGUGAGAUAUAUACCAUUCUUGCCAUUUUGAAAGACAUUAUCUUUAGUGCUGCAUAUGUCUUUGGUAAUUCAUCCACUUUGUCAACUGUCUGCUAUAUGAAAAGUGGCUAAAAAGAAAGGAAAUCAAUAUGUAGAAGGUUGGUUAAGCUGAGAAUUCAUCGCCCAGCUUGCUCCUUGUUUGUUAGUCAUGCGAUGUUGGCGGAUUAUAGAGAGAAACUUAUGUGUGUGCAGUUUGUUAUUCUAUAUUUAUGAUAUUUAGGUAGAUCUGAUUUAUUCCUUUAUAGCAUAAAUGGACUUGAAUUAUAAUGUAAUUAAUGAAU